UACGGGGGGGGCAAGCGUUGUUCGGAAUUACUGGGCGUAAAGGGCGCGUAGGCGGUUGGAUAAGUCAGCUGUGAAAACCACGGGCUUAACUCGUGGCCUGCAGUUGAGACUGUCUGGCUUGAGUGUGGGAGAGGAGAGUGGAAUUCCUGGUGUAGCGGUGAAAUGCGCAGAUAUCAGGAGGAACACCGAUGGCGAAGGCAGGUCUCUGGGCAUUAACUGACGCUGAGGAGCGAAAGCAUGGGGAGCGAACAGG
rnacentral:rRNA from 1 species